rnacentral:lncRNA from 10 species
CUUGCUUCUGAGUAGUAACCAUAAGGGAAAAAAAAGCAGCACUAAGUUUCCUGGGCUUGGGAAUCCUGAAUACACCAGUUCCAGAGAAGGAAGAUAAUGUGGUGUCAACAAAAUACUUUGCAAACAAGGAAGUGGCAAGAUCCCGGGAGGAGAAGUGGCUCUGUGUGCAGCUCAGAAAUUGAGACCACGCCAUGGCGUCACAAAGCCACCGGAGCUCCAGGGCUGUGCUAAAAUACAGAAUGAGUGUCUUACUGCUAACCUGUGUGGCUGAGGCCUUGCUCUUAGGCAGAGUACAUGCCUUCAGCUUCCUUUAGGAUCAACCCGUUCCUAGGAGACUUCUCAUUCUUUCAUGAGGACAGUGGCUCACCUCUUGCAGGUAUGUCUGUAUCCUGGUACAAGCACAACUUCAGCCCAAGCUGACACCACACAAUGUACAUCUAAUCUAUUUUUCCCUAUAGUUAAUGUUUCAUAUUUUAUUAGACUCUUUCUGUCACCAAGGUCAGACUCAGGCACUCUCGGAAUUGGGGACCAAAGAAUUCAGCAAUUCUAUUCUAGGUCCUGUUAAGAGGUUGAUGGCUCCAACCAUCGCAUUUAUGGCCCAGCAGGAGGUAGGAAGCUCAUAGAAUUCCCACGUCUUUUCCUAGAGAGGAAAGUUUUUUUUUUUUUGAGAUGGAGUUUCGCUCUGUCACCCAACCUGGAGUUUAGUGGUGUGAUCUCAGCUCACUGCAACCUCCGCCUCCUGGGUUCAAGCGAUUCUCCUGCCUCAGCCUCCUGAGUAGCUGGGAUUAUAGGCGCCUGCCACCACGCCCAGCUAGUUUUUGUUUGUUUGUUUGUUUGUUUGUUUUGUAUUUUUAGUACAGACACGGUUUUGCCAUGUCUCGAACUCCUGACCUCAGGUGAUCCGCCCACCUAGGCCUCCCAAAGUACUGGGAUUACAGGUGUGAGCCACCAUGCCCGGACAGAGGCAAGAUUUUUCUGAACUUGUUGAAGUCUUCCUUGGUUGGCUGCUUCCACUUUGCUAUCACACAAGACAUUCCUCCUUGUUUCCCAUUAACCAUUUCCAGAAAAACUUUUCCUUAAGUCUCCCAGAUCAAUCACUGUACACGCUUAGCCCCCAACCUUGACCUUGUACCUAAAAGUCUGAUGGAACAAGAAACUCAGUCCGCAUGGUCUGAGUUAGCUUUGCCUACUUCUGUUGGGCAAGAGGUGUAGGAAAGUCUGGGGAAGUAUCUGAUUAAUUCCAACCUUUCCUUAGCUCCCACUCCCUGAGUGAGUCUGUGCAUAAUAAAAAAGCAGAGGGCCCCGGACUCAAAUGCUUGUGUCACUUAUACAAGAUGUGGAGAGAUAAAAUAAGCACAGUAAGGUGAGUUGUCUCGAGGUUGUCACCCACCAUACAGUGCCCAACAUCUCCUUGCCUCUAACUGCUCACCUGACAGCCUUUCCUGCUGCUGCAGGUUUAACACAGGGUACUGGCAUUGCGGCCCCUCCCUUGGUGGUUUUAUGUUGACCAUCUGAAAGCAUCCUUCCUGAAAAUGAGAGCUAGGUUUCUUCUUUGUU